UACGGGGGGGGCAAGCGUUGUUCGGAAUUACUGGGCGUAAAGGGCGCGUAGGCGGCCUUCUAAGUCGGACGUGAAAUCCCUCGGCUUAACCGAGGAACUGCGUCCGAUACUGAAAGGCUUGAAUCCGGGAGAGGGAUGUGGAAUUCCAGGUGUAGCGGUGAAAUGCGUAGAUAUCUGGAGGAACACCGGUGGCGAAGGCGGCAUCCUGGACCGAUAUUGACGCUGAGGAGCGAAAGCCAGGGGAGCAAACGGG
rnacentral:rRNA from 1 species